rnacentral:misc_RNA from 1 species
GUUGUGAACAUAUUCUAGAAAAGAAGGGACUACAGGAUAGCGCCCCUGAUCACCACUCGCCGCAGGAGGGGACUUCUGAUAACAAAUGAUGUCACCAUCUUCAAGCUGGCUAGAUCGGAAAGUGAGUUUCUUGUCAAUGGGCUCACACAUAACACUUGGCUCAAAUUUUAUUUCUUCAAAUAGUUCAAUUUCUUCAUUUGGUGAA